AUUGAACGCUGGCGGCAGGCCUAACACAUGCAAGUCGAACGGUAACAGGAAGAAGCUUGCUUCUUUGCUGACGAGUGGCGGACGGGUGAGUAAUGUCUGGGAAACUGCCUGAUGGAGGGGGAUAACUACUGGAAACGGUAGCUAAUACCGCAUAACGUCGCAAGACCAAAGAGGGGGACCUUCGGGCCUCUUGCCAUCGGAUGCGCCCAGAUGGGAUUAGCUAGUAGGUGGGGUAACGGCUCACCUAGGUGGCGAUCUCUAGCUGGUCUGAGAGGAUGACCGGCGACACUAGAACGGGGACACGGUCAAGAGUCCUGCGGGAGGCAGCAGUGGGGAAUAUUGCACAAUAGGGGGAAGCCUGAUGCAGCCAUGCCGCGUGUAUGAAAAAGGCCUUCGGGUUGUAAAGUACGUUCAGCGGGGAGGAAGGGAGUAAAGUUAAUACCUUUGCUCAUUGACGUUACCCGCAGAAGAAGCACCGGCUAACUCCGUG
rnacentral:rRNA from 1 species